AUUGAACGCUGGCGGCAGGCUUAACACAUGCAAGUCGAGCGGGGUGAUGGUGCUUGCACUAUCACUUAGCGGCGGACGGGUGAGUAAUGCUUAGGAAUCUGCCUAUUAGUGGGGGACAACAUCUCGAAAGGGAUGCUAAUACCGCAUACGUCCUACGGGAGAAAGCAGGGGAUCACUUGUGACCUUGCGCUAAUAGAUGAGCCUAAGUCGGAUUAGCUAGUUGGUGGGGUAAAGGCCUACCAAGGCGACGAUCUGUAGCGGGUCUGAGAGGAUGAUCCGCCCCACUGGGACUGAGACACAGCCCAGACUCCUACGGGAGGCAGCAGUGGGGAAUAUUGGACAAUGGGGGGAACCCUGAUCCAGCCAUGCCGCGUGUGUGAAGAAGGCCUUAUGGUUGUAAACUGCUUUUGUACGGAGCGAAAAGGCUCUCUCUAAUACAGGGGGCUCAUGACGGUACCGUAAGAAUAAGCACCGGCUAACUACGUGCCAGCCGCCGCGGUAA
rnacentral:rRNA from 1 species